rnacentral:rRNA from 1 species
GACGAACGCUGGCGGCGUGCCUAACACAUGCAAGUCGAACGGAGUUCCUUCGGGGACUUAGUGGCGAACGGGUGAGUAACGCGUGAAGAACCUGCCUUUCAGUGGGGGACAACAGUUGGAAACGACUGCUAAUACCGCAUAAUGUUAUUUGGGGGCAUCCUCGAAUAACCAAAGAUUUAUUGCUGAAAGAUGGCUUCGCGUCUGAUUAGCUAGUUGGUGGGUAACGGCCCACCAAGGCGACGAUCAGUAGCCGGACUGAGAGGUUGACCGGCCACAUUGGGACUGAGAUACGGCCCAGACUCCUACGGGAGGCAGCAGUGAGGAAUAUUGGGCAAUGGGCGCAAGCCUGACCCAGCAAUGCCGCGUGAAGGAAGACGGUUUUCGGAUUGUAAACUUCUUUUAAGAGGGACGAUAAUGACGGUACCUCUUGAAUAAGCCACGGCUAACUACGUG